GCCGCACCUUCGCCCACUCUGGAGAGGUCAGUCGUAUCUCGUUGUUCAGUGAUCCGAGAGGUGGAAAACUAUUGGUUCAGAGAGCCCGUCAGACCGGAUUGGAGUGAGCCAUGAUUGGUCAGCACCGACACGAUCAGGCUGAUGGAAAAUGCAUUGGAGUCUAAUCCAGAAUCACAGCCAGAAAUCUAGAGUCACAAGAAUUCACAAGUCCAUGAAUUUCACCAAGAUCCUUUUUUAUGCCCCUCCUCAAAUUCAAUGAAAGAAUUGAAUGUGGGAAGACAUGGCUUUGUAAGGCAUUACUAGGACCUUGGUGGACUUAAAGUCAUGGAACUGAAUUGUAUUAAUGGUAUCAAACUCUUAUCACUAAGGUAAGGCUUUUUUGUUGCCCUUCCUGAGUUGAGAUUUCAGCUUUCUCUUUCAUUCUGUGAGAGAACCAAAAGACUCCUUUCAAUAAAUUUCCCCUUUUUCUUUAAGUUUCCAGAAACAGUUUCUGAUGCCUGCAAUCAAAAGAAUAUAUUAUAGGCUCUGUGUUGGGACUUGUGUUGCAAAGAAAUAUACUAUAUUUAUAUCACAAGGAAAUAAAUUAUUCUACCCCUGGAACAUAGUUACAUAUAUAUUUCCUUAAAAAUUUUAUACAAGUCUGCUGGUGGCUCUCAAACAUCUCUCUCCAGCAUGACUCUCACCUCAGUUGCUGAGGUUAAAACCGAGGAAUCAUUCUCCGUUUCUAUUUUUCCCUUCCCACAUUCAAUCCAUUAACAAGUUCUAUCAGUUCUGCCUUUAAAAUCCAGCCAGAAAUCAACCACUUUUCAUCUUAACCACUUUUCAUCGCAUUCUAGUCUAAACCAUCACCAUCUUUACCCUGGACAUCAGCAACAGUUUCCUAAUCCUUCUUUUUGUUUCCACUCUAGCUUUUCCACACAGUAGCCAGUGUGAUUCUUUUAAAAUGUCAUCAAGGGGCAUCUGGGUGGCUCAGUUGGUUGUGUCUGACUCUUGAUCUCAGCUCAGGUCAUGAGCUCACAGUUUGUGGGAUCAAG